CUCUUUUUUUCUCUCUCGCCCUUUUCUCAUGUCCCUUUCUCUUGGUUCCCCACGACCAUAGUAGCAAGACAAUCACCAGUUUUAUCAAACUCAAUUGCAGAAAUAAUAUCAACUUCUUGAACCUCCUUCCCGGCCGUCCUUUCACUAAGCACAUGGGAGAAAUUCCACUCCAGCGGUGGCGCCGGGCUAGCCAGAGUUGCAGCAACAUCUGCAUCGCCAUUCAUUUCCUCGGACGCGAAUCAACAGCCACGAUUCCCGGCCUCCACCGCCACGACCACUACCGUCACACCAUCUCAACUCACCGCAUCCAGCGAUCACAGUCAAUCGCUGCCUCGCCAUCACCAUCGGCGGACUCGACCACGUACUCGACGAAUCCUCUAUGCGACGUUUGAACCUGAAACCCUAAGUUUACUGGCAACUCCCCUCCUCUCAAGUUCUAUUGGUCGGAUCAGGGUAGCUGGGGGGUCUUCGGCGAGGCCAAUACUAGCGGCGAGCACCCCGGGGAGUUUCAUAGGAAAGUCAAUGUGUUGCUUGGGGCGAUCUCUUUGGAUUUCGACCAUGCACUCGGAGAGAUAAGUUUCCUUCCUUUUUCCUUUUUAUUCUUUUUUUUUUUUGUUUUUGAUUUUUGAAGGUUGUGAUGUGUGUGGGUGUUUUGAUAUUGAUCUGGUUAAUGAUCUUUGUGUGGUGCUGUUGAUGUUCUCUAUGUGGUGAGUUGUUUGAGUUCUCUGGUUAGGGUUUGAGGUAGGAGGUGGAAGACGAAGACGAGUCUUUACUUUGAGAUUGGUACCCAGGUUAACUCAUGCGAGUCACCCAUAGUAGGCCGUGUGGACUCGGGUGAACUCAGGGGUGAACCUGAGUAGGGUUGAGCACGUGAUGAAUGGCACGUGUCGGGGCAUGGGCCGGUUUUUAGUUAAAAACACAGUUGGGCUUGAUUCUGUCAAAUGAGGGUUCGAUGGGUUUUAAAGAUGGGCUGGCUUGAAACAUUUAGGGGCCGAGAAUUUUAAAAAACGGGAGCUGGGCUGAUUUUUUAAAAUGGUUAUGGGCCUCAUUUUUUGAAAACAGGCCAUGGUAAAAUUUUUGUGGCUGAUUUUAUAUUUUCCUUUAAAGAUGUUCAUUCUAAAAAAAUGUGGAAAGCUAGCAACUCUAUGUCUAGAACAGAAUACAUAAUGAAGCAAAUGAAGAUUGAAUUUUGCUGAGCA